rnacentral:rRNA from 1 species
AACACAUGCAAGUCGAACGAGGUCCAUGGAGCUUGCUCCGGAAGAUCUAGUGGCGAACGGGUGCGUAACACGUGAGAAACCUGCCCCGAUCUCUGGGAUAACAGUUGGAAACGACUGCUAAUACCGGAUGCCGUCACACCGCUUCAUGGCGGAGUGCCGAAAGAUUUAUCGGAUUGGGAGGGUCUCGCGGCCUAUCAGCUAGUUGGAGAGGUAACGGCUCACCAAGGCAUCGACGGGUAGCUGGUCUGAGAGGAUGAUCAGCCACACUGGGACUGAGACACGGCCCAGACUCCUACGGGAGGCAGCAGUGGGGAAUCUUGCACAAUGGGCGAAAGCCUGAUGCAGCAACGCCGCGUGCGGGAAGAAGGCCCUAGGGUUGUAAACCGCUUUCAGUAGGGAAGAAAAUGACGGUACCUACAGAAGAAGGUGCGGCCA